GACGAACGCUGGCGGCGUGCUUAACACAUGCAAGUCGAACGGAAAGGCCCUGCUUUUGUGGGGUGCUCGAGUGGCGAACGGGUGAGUAACACGUGAGUAACCUGCCCUUGACUUUGGGAUAACUUCAGGAAACUGGGGCUAAUACCGGAUAGGAGCUCCUGCUGCAUGGUGGGGGUUGGAAAGUUUCGGCGGUUGGGGAUGGACUCGCGGCUUAUCAGCUUGUUGGUGGGGUAGUGGCUUACCAAGGCUUUGACGGGUAGCCGGCCUGAGAGGGUGACCGGCCACAUUGGGAUUGAGAUACGGCCCAGACUCCUACGGGAGGCAGCAGUGGGGAAUAUUGCACAAUGGGCGGAAGCCUGAUGCAGCAACGCCACGUGCGGGAUGACGGCCUUCGGGUUGUAAACCGCUUUCGCCUGUGACGAAGCGUGAGUGACGGUAAUGGGUAAAGAAGCACCGGCUAACUACGUG
rnacentral:rRNA from 1 species